GGCUCGUUAGCUUAGUGGUAAUAGCGCCAAACUGUUGAUGGAGGUCGUAGGUUCGAUUCCUACACGAGCCC